rnacentral:rRNA from 1 species
UACGUAGGGGCCGAGCGUUGUCCGGAGUUAUUGGGCGUAAAGCGCGCGCAGGCGGCUUCGCGCGCCCGCCGUGAAAGCCCCCGGCUUAACCGGGGAGAGUCGGUGGGGACGGCGGAGCUUGAGGGCGGGAGAGGUCGGUGGAAUUCCCGGUGUAGUGGUGAAAUGCGUAGAGAUCGGGAGGAACACCUGUGGCGAAGGCGGCCGACUGGGCCGACCCUGACGCUGAGGCGCGAAGGCGUGGGGAGCGAACGGG